rnacentral:rRNA from 1 species
UACAGAGGUCUCAAGCGUUGUUCGGAUUCAUUGGGCGUAAAGGGUGCGUAGGCGGCGCGGUAAGUCGGGUGUGAAAUCUCGGAGCUUAACUCCGAAACUGCAUUCGAUACUGCCGUGCUUGAGGACUGGAGAGGAGACUGGAAUUUACGGUGUAGCGGUGAAAUGCGUAGAUAUCGUAAGGAAGACCAGUGGCGAAGGCGGGUCUCUGGACAGUUCCUGACGCUGAGGCACGAAGCCAGGGGGAGCAAACGGGG